rnacentral:rRNA from 1 species
GGGGGGGGGGGGGGGGGGGGGGUGCGGGGGCAGGGCGAACGGGGACGGGUCCGUGGGGAUGCCGACGGGUGGCGAACGGGGGGGUAAUAGAUCGGAACGUGCCCAGUCGUGGGGGAUACCUGCUCGAAAGAGCAGCUAAUACCGCCUACGACCUGAGGGGGGAAGGGGGGGAUCGCAAGACCUCUCACUAUUGCAGCGUCCGCUAUCAGAUUAGCUAGUUGGUGGGGUAACGGCCUACCAAGGCAACGAUCUGUCGUUGGUCUGAGAGGACGACCAGCCAAACUGGGAUUGAGACACGGCCCAGACUCCUAAGGGAGGCAGCAGUGGGGAAUUUUGGACAAUGGGCGCAAGCCUGAUCCAGCAAUGCCGCGUGCAGGAAGAAGGCCUUCGGGUUGUAAACUGCUUUUGUCAGGGAAGAAAUCUUCUGGGCUAAUACCCCGGGAGGAUGACGGUACCUGAAGAAUAAGCACCGGCUAACUACGUG